rnacentral:rRNA from 1 species
GAUGAACGCUGGCGGCGUGGCUAAUACAUGCAAGUCGAGCGAACGGACGAGAAGCUUGCUUUUCUGAUGUUAGCGGCGGACGGGUGAGUAACACGUGGAUAACCUACCUAUAAGACUGGGAUAACUUCGGGAAACCGGAGCUAAUACCGGAUAAUAUUUUGAACCGCAUGGUUCAAAAGUGAAAGACGGUCUUGCUGUCACUUAUAGAUGGAUCCGCGCUGCAUUAGCUAGUUGGUAAGGUAACGGCUUACCAAGGCAACGAUGCAUAGCCGACCUGAGAGGGUGAUCGGCCACACUGGAACUGAGACACGGUCCAGGCUCCUACGGGAGGCAGCAGUAGGGAAUCUUCCGCAAUGGGCGAAAGCCUGACGGAGCAACGCCGCGUGAGUGAUGAAGGUCUUCGGAUCGUAAAACUCUGUUAUUAGGGAAGAACAUAUGUGUAAGUAACUGUGCACAUCUUGACGGUACCUAAUCAGAAAGCCACGGCUAACUACGUG